rnacentral:rRNA from 1 species
AUGAACGCUGGCGGCGUGCCUAAUACAUGCAAGUCGAGCGAACAGACGAGGAGCUUGCUCCUCUGACGUUAGCGGCGGACGGGUGAGUAACACGUGGAUAACCUACCUAUAAGACUGGGAUAACUUCGGGAAACCGGAGCUAAUACCGGAUAAUAUAUUGAACCGCAUGGUUCAAUAGUGAAAGACGGUUUUGCUGUCACUUAUAGAUGGAUCCGCGCCGCAUUAGCUAGUUGGUAAGGUAACGGCUUACCAAGGCAACGAUGCGUAGCCGACCUGAGAGGGUGAUCGGCCACACUGGAACUGAGACACGGUCCAGACUCCUACGGGAGGCAGCAGUAGGGAAUCUUCCGCAAUGGGCGAAAGCCUGACGGAGCAACGCCGCGUGAGUGAUGAAGGUCUUCGGAUCGUAAAACUCUGUUAUUAGGGAAGAACAAAUGUGUAAGUAACUAUGCACGUCUUGACGGUACCUAAUCAGAAAGCCACGGCUAAUUACGUG